UAAGGAAUAUUGCUCAAUGGGAGAAAUCCUGAAGCAGCAACGCCGCGUGGAGGAUGAAGGGUCUAUGACUUGUAAACUCCUGUAAAGAAGGAAAAAAUUCCCAUUUGAUGGGAGAUGAUGGUACUUCUGGAGUAAGCCCCGGCUAACUACGUGCCAGCAGCCGCGGUAAUACGUAGGGGGCAAGCGUUGUCCGGAUUUACUGGGUGUAAAGGGUGAUCAGGCGGAUUUGUAAGUCAGAGGUGAAAUCUUACAGCUUAACUGUGAAACUGCCUUUGAUACUGCAAGCCUAGAGUAUGGAAGAGAGUGAUGGAAUAUCUGGUGUAGCAGUGAAAUGCGUAGAUAUCAGAUAGAACACCAAUGGCGAAGGCAGUCACUUGGUCCAUUACUGACGCUAAAGCACGAAAGCGUGGGUAACA
rnacentral:rRNA from 1 species